CUGUAGUCGCUUAACUCGUCUGCUCCCACAUCGGCACAUGAAGCAGCUUGUUUCCAGUACAUAUACUCCACCAUGGAAGCACAUACCGUCCCUUCGGAGACAUCCGAUAAAAUUGGAACGAUACAGAGAAGAUUAGCAUGGCCCCUGCGCAAGGAUGACACGCACAAAUCGAGAAAUGGUCCAAAUUUUUUUCCAAACCAAAAAUCCAAGAACUACAACUGCUAAUUUGUCCCCAGAUUUCGUGAAUAUAAUCUGGGGAUUUUCCACUUUUACUGAAAUGCGGGCACUGGAUGCGUUUUCAAUCUGUUAAACUGGGUUUGCAAUCCUCGUAAUAGUGAUGUUUUCGAUGUACCUUCCAUACGAUUCUCCGAUGAUUGCCCCUGAACUGGAAUAAGUGUAUGGAAUACAAGUGAAGUUAAUAUCAUUUGGGAUGCUGAGAAAUUGGCUUACUGAUAUCGCUUUGAACUAUGAAGGAUGAUAACAUAUGCCACAUCAGACCCGGCACUCACAUCAUACGAUAUCUUAUCCACAGCUCACCCCCCAGUAUGUUGAGGAGUUCUUAUGUUAUUGAAGCUGGAGCAACCUUUCCUUAGUUAGAACUCCAAUUUUCCAGUGUCUUUAAUAACAUAGUCAUUGGUAAUAAAGAGGUAUUGAGAAAGAAUGAAAUGUUACAAGUUCUUCAGUC